rnacentral:rRNA from 1 species
AGAAUGAACGUUGGCGGCGUGGAUUAGGCAUGCAAGUCGUACGUCCCGCAAGGGGCGUGGCGCAAGGGUGAGUAAGGCGACGGCAACCAACCCCGCGGCCGGGCAUAGCCACUCGAAAGGGUGGGUAAUUCCCGGCGCCCCAGAGUGGCGGCAUCGCCAUGCUGGGAAAGGUGAGACUCCGCCGUGGGACGGACCGUCGUGGUAUCAGCUUGUUGGCGGGGUAACGGCCCACCAAGGCUAUGACGCCUACCGGGCGUGCGAGCGUGGCCCGGCACACUGGGACUGAGACACUGCCCAGACUCCUACGGGAGGCUGCAGUCGAGAAUCUUCGGCAAUGGGCGCAAGCCUGACCGAGCGACGCCGCGUGGAGGACGAAGGCCUUCGGGUUGUAAACUCCUGUCGAGGGGGAACAAGGCUCCGCGAAGAGCGGCGCGUUGAGUGAUCCCUGGAGGAGCGACGGGCUAAGUUCGUGCCAGCAGCCGCGGUAA